rnacentral:rRNA from 1 species
AUUGAACGCUGGCGGAAUGCUUUACACAUGCAAGUCGAACGGCAGCACGGGGCAACCUGGUGGCGAGUGGCGAACGGGUGAGUAAUAUAUCGGAACGUGCCCAAUCGUGGGGGAUAACGUAGCGAAAGUUACGCUAAUACCGCAUACGAUCUACGGAUGAAAGCGGGGGAUCGCAAGACCUCGCGCGAAUGGAGCGGCCGAUAUCAGAUUAGGUAGUUGGUGGGGUAAAGGCUCACCAAGCCAACGAUCUGUAGCUGGUCUGAGAGGACGACCAGCCACACUGGAACUGAGACACGGUCCAGACUCCUACGGGAGGCAGCAGUGGGGAAUUUUGGACAAUGGGCGCAAGCCUGAUCCAGCCAUUCCGCGUGCAGGAUGAAGGCCUUCGGUUGUAAACUGCUUUGUACGGUAACGAAACGGUACUGCCCUAAUACGGCAGGCUAAUGACGGUACCGUAAGAAUAAGCACCGGCUAACUACGUGCCAGCAGCCGCGGUAA